GAUGAACGCUGGCGGCGUGCCUAAUACAUGCAAGUCGAGCGAACAGAAGAGGAGCUUGCUCCUCUGACGUUAGCGGCGGACGGGUGAGUAACGCGUGAAUAACCUACCUAUAAGACGGGGAUAACAGCUGGAAACGAGAGCUAAUACCGUAUAACAUCUUGAACCGCAUUGUUCAACAGGGAAAGACGGUCUUGCUGUUACUGAUAGAUGGGUCCGCGACUCAUUAGCUAGUGGGUAAGGUAACGGCUUACCAAGGCAGUGAUGCGUAGCCGACCUGAGAGGGUGAUCGGCCACCCUGGAACUGAGACACGGCGCAGACUCCUACGCGAGGCAGCAGUAGGGAAUCCUCCGCAAUGGGGGAAAGCGUGACGGAGCAACGCCGCGUGAGUCAAGAAGGUCUUCGGAUCGUAAAACUAUGUUAUUAGGGAAGAACAAAUGUGUAAGUAACUAUGCACGUCUUGACGGUACCUAAUCAGAAAGCCACGGCUAACUACGUG
rnacentral:rRNA from 1 species